UGCUGCUCACCUUCAUCUAUGGCGGGCGCGUGGUGCAUGAGAUCCAGGUGCACAGCCUAGACUGUCGGCUUGUGGCUGAGCCCUCAGACCCGGAGAGCAGCAUGGUGCAGCAGGUGGUGUUUCCCAGACCUGACCCACUGGAGCCCACCCAGAGCCUGCUGAAUCAGCUCGAGAGAGGCAUCCUGGUGGCCAGCAAUUCCAGAGGCCUCUUUGUUCAGCGCCUCUGCCCCAUCCCCAUCUCCUGGAACGCACCCGAGGCCCCACCUGGGCCUGGGCCUCAUCUGCUGCCCAGCAAUAAGUGUGUGGAGCUCUUCAGUACCACAUACUUCUGUAGAGGUAAGGGUGUCCCGGCUCGACCUCCCCUUCCUCGUUAUCCUGUGCGCCCGGUGGGUUUCCCCACCACCCUCCCCAGCAG
rnacentral:lncRNA from 1 species